AGAUUUACCUGGCAGGUAAGAUACCAUAAACACAAAGGUGGUUUUCCGAGGUCGAGGUUUAUCCAUUGCUGUCCGGAUGUGCUGACCCCUGCGAUCUCCCCAAAUGUGGGAAACUCGACUGCAUAUUGUGGUAAGUUGAUGGUCUAGUUUCAUUUUAAAUUAGA